rnacentral:rRNA from 1 species
GACGAACGCUGGCGGCGUGCUUAACACAUGCAAGUCGAGCGGAAAGGCCCUUUCGGGGGUACUCGAGCGGCGAACGGGUGAGUAACACGUGAGUAAUCUGCCCUUCACUCUGGGAUAGCCACCGGAAACGGUGAUUAAUACCGGAUACGACACGCGACCGCAUGGUCUGUGUGUGGAAACUUUUUGGGUGGGGGAUGUGCUCGCGGCCUAUCAGCUUGUUGGUGGGGUAAUGGCCUACCAAGGCUUCGACGGGUAGCCGGCCUGAGAGGGUGACCGGCCACACGGGGACUGAGACAAGGCCCAGACUCCUACGGGAGGCAGCAGUGGGGAAUAGUGGACAAUGGGCGGAAGCCUGAUCCAGCAACGCCGCGUGAGGGAUGACGGCCUUCGGGUUGUAAACCUCUUUCAGCACCGACGAAGCGAUCCUUUUGGGGAGUGACGGUAGGUGCAGAAGAAGGACCGGCCAACUACGUGCCAGCCGCCGCCGUAAAAC